GUGGGAAUGGAAAAGGUUGGACAAAAAGAUGAAUCACCGUCUGGGUGGAUUUACCUCCUAGAGGCUGUUGGCAGUACCUCGAGGUUAGAAGGAAGCAAAUGCCACCAAGAGCCUGCAAGUAAGUGGGACCAGCACUUGGCCCUGCUGCUCGACCCGAAGCCUAGCUCUUCACACGGGGGCUCUCCCCCCGACGGAGCCCAAGAGCAGCUCUACAGAGCAACAGAAAAAGUUCACCCCCUGAGGACAAAAAGUAGACCUUCAGACUUCUCUGCAAACCUCCAGAACUCAGCUAAACAUAGAGCAGGGGCAGCUGGUUUAUGAUGCUUCACAGGUGAUGAGAAAAAAUAUCCCCAACCUGGCCGGGAGAUGCCGCGCAGCCCUAAGGGACAGAGCACUGAGAACGGAACCGGAGACUCCUGCCCUUGCAGCUCUCCUUGCAGCCUGGGCAACAUUAUAUAACGUUGCUUGGACUCUUCUGAAAGCAGAGAAACAUGUUUUGAAUUUGUGCAUCUGGGAACCGGCAAGUCACCAUUUAAAGGGACACAAGCUGUGUAGGAUGGAAGGACAUGAUCUUAGCGAAUGUGACGAGAACCAACAUGAAGAUCCAGUAUCCUAGUGGCCCUCUGAAACUCACAUAGGCAAAUAUCUUUCCCCUUCCAGGUCUCAUGAUGCCCUGGAAUUUCAAGGUAGGGGAAGGAUCAAAAAGAGGAUGAGAAAGACCUGACUCAGGCCUCCAGAAUUCAGCCCCUUACAAAGUGACCUUCUUUGCUGCUCUUGACACUGACCCUGAAAAGCCAGCAGGAUCUGCAGUUGCCAAG
ensembl:lncRNA